rnacentral:ncRNA from 1 species
GAAAAGGCAUGGAACGAAAAGAGUACAGAGUAAAUCCUUUUCAGAGAGAGACAGUCAUCGGCUGGAAGCUGUCUUAGAGGAAACUUUGGAAAGUGCAUUCGGGAGUUGAUUUGGUGAGGGGUAAGCCUAAGCCGGAUACGCAGUCCUGCGUUAUGGGAAAUAAGUGGGAGAUACUAUCUUCAAAUAGAGUGGAACCGCGGAUUUUUCGCCUCUAUG